rnacentral:rRNA from 1 species
CCUGAUGGCCAUAGAGCACUUGUACCACCUGAUCCCAUCUCGAACUCAGAAGUGAAAAGGUGCAUCGCCGAUGGUAGUGUGGGGUCUCCCCAUGUGAGAGUAGGACACUAUCAGGC